GGAGCAGAAAACAAGUACCCUUUUUAAGAGUUUUUCUAUGGAAGGAGAAUAUAACCGUCCUGCAGUAAAGCGGGUAAAUAUGUGCCUUGACGCGGUUGGCCGGACGCUUCUUGCAUGGUCAGGGAUGGCGAUAAUAUACGCUGCUUGGAAUCCAGCUAAGUACCUGAUUACAUGACCAGUACCGCAAAGGAGAACACAACGCGCCCCUACAAUAACACUCCGCGAGGCAUCUUUAUAAAAACAAAAGAGG
rnacentral:sRNA from 12 species